GCCCGCGUAGCUCAGCUGGUAGAGCAAUUGACUCUUAAUCAAAAGGUCCCAGGUUCGAUCCCUGGCGCGGGCACCA
rnacentral:tRNA from 2 species